CCUGAUCUCAGGUGAUCUGCCCACCUCGGCCUCCCAAAGUGCUGGGAUUACAGUAGUGAGCCACCGCACCUGGCACCACAGUUUCUACAGAGAAGUAAAACCCUACCUUCAGCAAGUACCUGAAUUUGGCUCCAAGUUGCAAAACUACCUCCUGUCAUGAAGAUGUGGGAAGUUUAUCUUUCAUAGAAUAUAAUCAACUGACCUCCCCAAUUCCCAGAAUCAGUCUCAGUGUUUCCUGUUUGGAUUGCCAUGAGGACAUCAACCCAGAGUGACUGUAGACCCUCUUCCCAGCACCUGAGAGUCUUUGAGACAUUUGAGGUUGUUGUGUGCAGACUGGGGUGAGGCUGACAAGAGGGUCUAAUUCUGCUACCAUCUAAGAGGGAGGGGAAUAAGUCAUUCAGUGUUUCUUCUCUUUCUCACAAAAAUAAUCUCUUUGGUUGGUUCCUAGAUGGGAGUUGUUCCAGUUUUCACUUGGGUGAAAAAAAAGGAGAGCUGGAGACUGAUCAACCAAUUACUUUCAUUUCAUAUGGCGAUUAGAAAAACAGAUGAGGCAAUCAUAAUCUCUGCAAUCCAGGAACUGUGUCUGUGGCAAAUGAAUAAAUGGCUGAAUUUCA
rnacentral:lncRNA from 1 species